UACGUAGGGGCAAGCGUUGUCCGGAUUUAUUGGGCGUAAAGAGCGUGUAGGCGGUUUGGUAGGUCCGCUGUGAAAACUCGAGCUCAACCUCGAGACGCCGGUGGAAACCAUCAGACUAGAGUCCGGAAGAGGAGAGUGGAAUUCCUGGUGUAGCGGUGAAAUGCGCAGAUAUCAGGAAGAACACCCGUGGCUAAGGCGGCUCUCUAGUACGGUACUGACGCUAGACGCGAAAA
rnacentral:rRNA from 1 species